UACGUAGGGUGCAAGCGUUGUCCGGAAUUAUUGGGCGUAAAGAGCUCGUAGGCGGUUUGUUGCGUCGGCUGUGAAAUCCCGAGGCUCAACCUCGGGUCUGCAGUCGAUACGAGCAAACUAGAGUGUUGCAGGGGAGACUGGAAUUCCUGGUGUAGCGGUGAAAUGCGUAGAUAUCAGGAGGAAUCCCGGUGGGGUAGACGGCUCUCUGGACCGCCACUGACGCUGAGACACGAAAGCGUGGGUAGCAAACAGG
rnacentral:rRNA from 1 species